GAUGAACGCUGGCGGCGUGCCUAAUACAUGCAAGUAGAACGCUGAAGCUUGGUGCUUGCACCGAGCGGAUGAGUUGCGAACGGGUGAGUAACGCGUAGGUAACCUGCCUCUUAGCGGGGGAUAACUAUUGGAAACGAUAGCUAAUACCGCAUAAAAGUCGAUAUCGCAUGAUAUUGAUUUGAAAGGUGCAAAUGCAUCACUAAGAGAUGGACCUGCGUUGUAUUAGCUAGUUGGUGAGGUAACGGCUCACCAAGGCGACGAUACAUAGCCGACCUUAGAGGGUGAUCGGCCACACUGGGACUGGGACACGGCCCAGACUCCUACGGGAGGCAGCAGGAGGGAAUCUUCGGCAAUGGGGGCAACCCUGACCGAGCAACGCCGCGUGAGUGAAGAAGGUUUUCGGAUCGUAAAGCUCUGUUGUAAGAGAAGAACGAGUGUGAGAGUGGAAAGUUCACACUGUGACGGUAACUUACCAGAAAGGGACGGCUAACUACGUG
rnacentral:rRNA from 1 species